UAAAUCAGAUAACUGAAGUAUACAAUUAAUUUUACAGUGACACGUGGACCCCCAACUGACCAAGAAGGUGUAGGGCUACGAACCCUUACUUUCUAGGAUGCAACUCCGAGAUUAAUUCUCGUCUUAAUCAACUAUCAACAAACUGUCCUGAGCCUGAAAAAUGGAUAGGAAGAAGGGUGAAAUUAUGAUUACAUAAUCCCAGUGAGUAAACAGACACCAUCUAAACUAUCUAAAGGCAAGUAAAGGGAGACAAUUAAAAAUAGUUCAUUUCAACAAAUUUUUCACAACACCAAUAUUCAUUUCAAUAAAAAAAUCAAUAUGGCUCGUGAAUUUCUCAAAACUUGGCUCCUGCCAAAAUCAUUCUUGCGGGUACCUUAGUCAAGGUAUCCCACUGAGACCGCCAAGGCCGUUAAAAAUUCAUAUUUUGCAUAAAAUACACUUUUCGUUGAACAUCACAGUCGUUCCUUGGCGUUGGCUGAGUCUCACUCUCACGUGGUGGUUAACGUGAAGUGCACUCAAAAAGCCCACCUUAAGAGAUACCCUACGCGCCUCUACGACCGAGGUGAGAAUAUAAAGGAGUUUACCGUGCCCCUCUAAUAGGCUGGUCCAUGGAACCCCCCACCACUGCAGUAGCUAAUCUUUAAUCCACCAAUUAAUCAAAUCUCAAUGGCAUAUCAUGGCAAUUACAUUACUAACCAAUUUAUCAAGGCAAAAUAGACAUUUCAUAUUUUUCAACACAAGUAUAAAUUCAGCCAAUCAUGCCAAUUUAUCACAAGCCAUUUAAUUCAAAUCAUAAUUUACAAUAAAUCACAUGGUCUCCAAUUACUCAAAUUUUCAAAGCCAUCAUUCAAUUUCAAGACAAUUUUAUGAAAUCAUUUUAUAAAAUCACAAUUUCUCCUAAAACAUAGCAAUUUACCAUUUAAACCCAUUUUCUAUAAAAUCACAUAAUUGUAUAAAACUACUCUAGAUAAUUAAGACGAUAAUAAGUUCACUCACAGUAUUAGGAGUAAAAAUACUCUUAUUUUCAGUCUGAGGGUACAGUCCUUUACCCGUAUCAAUGGCUCAUCACCUAGCCAUAAUCCAUGACACAUAUUCCAAUUAGAUUGUGUCUAACAGUCAUAAGCUAUUUCAGGCUCGAUAGAUAUGCAUGAUAUGAAAUGAAAAAUGCACGGGUAGCCAUCCAGACUCGGUAUUGGCCUAAGUCGAUUUUUCAUCCGCUAAAUUGGCCAAUGCGUCCAAUUUCACUUCAAUUUUGCUCCAUUUCUUUUCCAAUCCCUCAAUUCACCAAGCAUAACUAAUUAACACACAAUUAGGCAAAAUUUAUCUUCACUUUUCUUCUUGGAACUUUCGGCCAACAAUGGUACACUAACUCCGUGAUUUUUCUUACUUAAUUUUCUCUCCAUAAUUCAUUAAUUCCUACCCCAAAAACUAUUAUUUCUUAAUCAAAUCACCUAGAAUAACAUCCCAUUCUUCCUCAUUAUUCACUUAGAGAAUUCGGCUAUUGAUGGGUUCAAAACCUUUGGUGGUUUUCUUCACUUGUUUUCAUGCUACACAUCAUCAAUCACCUAAAAACACUAACAUACCUAAAAAUCAAACCAAUCCAAGAUCAUUCUCCCUCCAUACCCAUUUUGACCAGUCAUGAAUUCAUCAUGAAAACAUGUAAUUUAACCAUGAAAAUUGAGGGAAAAUGCAUGGGCAAGGUAAAUCACUAGCAAAAUCAAAGAAAUUUUACCUUUGCUUGAUCAAAUCCUUGAAUUCCAACACUUUCUCUUUGAUUUUUUCCACCUAGGGUUUGUUCUUCCUUGGUUUCUCUUCUCUUCUGGUUUGGC
rnacentral:lncRNA from 1 species